GAUGAACGCUAGCGGCAGGCUUAAUACAUGCAAGUCGAGGGGCAGCAGGUUUGUAGCAAUACAGAUGCUGGCGACCGGCAAACGGGUGCGGAACACGUACAGAACCUUCCUUCGAGCGGGGAAUAGCCCAGAGAAAUUUGGAUUAAUACCCCAUAGCAUUAUGGAGUGGCAUCACUUUAUAAUUAAAGAUUAUCACUUGAGAUGGCUGUGCGGCUGAUUAGAUAGUUGGUGAGGUAACGGACUCACCAAGUCUACGAUCAGUAACUGGUGUGAGAGCACGACCAGUCACACGGGCACUGAGACACGGGCCCGGACUCCUACGGGAGGCAGCAGUAAGGAAUAUUGGUCAAUGGACGCAAGUCUGAACCAGCCAUGCCGCGUGGAGGAUGAAGGUCCUCUGGAUUGUAAACUUCUUUUAUAUGGGACGAAAAAGGGUCUUUUCUAAGUCAACUGACGGUACCAUAUGAAUAAGCA
rnacentral:rRNA from 1 species